rnacentral:rRNA from 1 species
UAGGGAAUCUUCGGCAAUGGACGAAAGUCUGACCGAGCAACGCCGCGUGAGUGAAGAAGGUUUUCGGAUCGUAAAACUCUGUUGUUAGAGAAGAACAAGGACGUUAGUAACUGAACGUCCCCUGACGGUAUCUAACCAGAAAGCCACGGCUAACUACGUGCCAGCAGCCGCGGUAAUACGGAGGGUGCAAGCGUUAAUCGGAAUUACUGGGCGUAAAGCGCACGCAGGCGGUUGAUUGAGUCAGAUGUGAAAUCCCCGGGCUUAACCCGGGAAUUGCAUCUGAUACUGGUCAGCUAGAGUCUUGUAGAGGGGGGUAGAAUUCCAUGUGUAGCGGUGAAAUGCGUAGAGAUGUGGAGGAAUACCGGUGGCGAAGGCGGCCCCCUGGACAGAGACUGACGCUCAGGUGCGAAAGCGUGGGGAGCAAACAGG